rnacentral:sRNA from 1 species
AGAGGAGGCGCCAUCAUGACGAAGUCAUGAUUCGGAAUGGCGCCGACGAGUGGCCGCCGAGCGAAGACGAGGGGGCAUUUCAUU